rnacentral:rRNA from 1 species
UACAGAGGGUGCGAGCGUUGUUCGGAAUUAUUGGGCGUAAAGGGCGCGUAGGCGGUGCGGCAAGUCACCUGUGAAACCUCUGGGCUUAACCCAGAGCCUGCAGGCGAAACUGCCGUGCUGGAGUGUGGGAGAGGUGCGUGGAAUUCCCGGUGUAGCGGUGAAAUGCGUAGAUAUCUGGAGGAACACCGGUGGCGAAGGCGACAUCCUGGACCGGUAUUGACGCUGAGG